GAUGAACGCUGGCGGCGUGCCUAAUACAUGCAAGUCGAGCGAACAGAUAAGGAGCUUGCUCCCUUGACGUUAGCGGCGGACGGGUGAGUAACACGUGGGUAACCUACCUAUAAGGCUGGAAUAACUCCGGGAAACCGGGGCUAAUGCCGGAUAACAUUUAGAACCGCAUGGUUCUAAAGUGAAAGAUGGUUUUGCUAUCACUUAUAGAUGGACCCGCGCCGUAUUAGCUAGUUGGUAAGGUAACGGCUUACCAAGGCAACGAUACGUAGCCGACCUGAGAGGGUGAUCGGCCACACUGGAACUGAGACACGGUCCAGACUCCUACGGGAGGCAGCAGUAGGGAAUCUUCCGCAAUGGGCGAAAGCCUGACGGAGCAACGCCGCGUGAGUGAUGAAGGUCUUCGGAUCGUAAAACUCUGUUAUUAGGGAAGAACAAAUGUGUAAGUAACUGUGCACGUCUUGACGGUACCUAAUCAGAAAGCCACGGCUAACUACGUG
rnacentral:rRNA from 1 species